UGUAGAUUUGCUGCUGUGCUUGGGAUCAUUCUCCUGCUGCAUGACUUGGUUUCAGCCAAGUUUUAGCUAUCGGACUGAUGGAUUUACAUUUGACUCUAGAAUACUUUGAUAUGCAGAGGAUUUCAUUAUGAUUGACGGCAAGGUGUCCAGGUCCUGUGGCUGCAGAAGAACCCCAAAUCAUUAACCCUCCACCCCUGCGGCUAAUAGUUGAUAUGAGAGAGAAGAGCCUUCCAUUCAAGCCAUACUUGUUCUUUUUCUAAUUUUACUGUUAACUGUGACCUAAGAUGUGGUUCGUGGACGUUUUGCAUUGGAUAGUCUGACCUUGAGGCUGAUUUUGCUGGGACAUCCACUCCUGGGGAGAUUGUGUCAUUUAGUUAAUGUAGACUUAAAUACUCCAGACCAGCAAACUGCCCAAACUUCUGGGUUUAUAGAGUGAAUAGCUUGUCAGGCUUCUUCCUGACAGCGGGGGUCAGUCGAUAAAAACGAAGCACUGCGUUGGCCCUCCAAUCAAUACUGCUUUCUUGGGUUCCCUCAGCAGGAGCUGCUUUUAUAACUCGGUGAUGUUGCAUAUUAAAUUGUGGUGUUAAAUAUAGCUGCCUUGCAGUAUGAUGUUA
ensembl:lncRNA